UACGUAGGUGGCAAGCGUUGUCCGGAUUUACUGGGCGUAAAGCGUAUGCAGGCGGGUUCUUAAGUAGGAAGUGAAAGGUUGGAGCUUAACUCUAACACUGCUCCCUAUACUGGGAACCUUGAGUGCCGGAGAGGAAGACGGAACGACACGUGUAGCGGUGAAAUGCGUUGAGAUGUGUCGGAACACCAAUGGCGAAAGCAGUCUUCUGGACGGAUACUGACGCUGAGAUACGAAAGCUAAGGGAGCAAACAGG
rnacentral:rRNA from 1 species